GGGUGCGGGUGCUAUAAUGCAGUCGAGCGAACAGACGAGGAGCUUGCUCCUCUGACGUUAGCGGCGGACGGGUGAGUAACACGUGGAUAACCUACCUAUAAGACUGGGAUAACUUCGGGAAACCGGAGCUAAUACCGGAUAAUAUAUUGAACCGCAUGGUUCAAUAGUGAAAGACGGUUUUGCUGUCACUUAUAGAUGGAUCCGCGCCGCAUUAGCUAGUUGGUAAGGUAACGGCUUACCAAGGCAACGAUGCGUAGCCGACCUGAGAGGGUGAUCGGCCACACUGGAACUGAGACACGGUCCAGACUCCUACGGGAGGCAGCAGUAGGGAAUCUUCCGCAAUGGGCGAAAGCCUGACGGAGCAACGCCGCGUGAGUGAUGAAGGUCUUCGGAUCGUAAAACUCUGUUAUUAGGGAAGAACAAAUGUGUAAGUAACUAUGCACGUCUUGACGGUACCUAAUCAGAAAGCCACGGCUAACUACGUGCCAGCAGCCGCGGUAAUACGUAGGUGGCAAGCGUUAUCCGGAAUUAUUGGGCGUAAAGCGCGCGUAGGCGGUUUUUUAAGUCUGAUGUGAAAGCCCACGGCUCAACCGUGGAGGGUCAUUGGAAACUGGAAAACUUGAGUGCAGAAGAGGAAAGUGGAAUUCCAUGUGUAGCGGUGAAAUGCGCAGAGAUAUGGAGGAACACCAGUGGCGAAGGCGACUUUCUGGUCUGUAACUGACGCUGAUGUGCGAAAGCGUGGGGAUCAAACAGGAUUAGAUACCCUGGUAGUCCACGCCGUAAACGAUGAGUGCUAAGUGUUAGGGGGUUUCCGCCCCUUAGUGCUGCAGCUAACGCAUUAAGCACUCCGCCUGGGGAGUACGACCGCAAGGUUGAAACUCAAAGGAAUUGACGGGGACCCGCACAAGCGGUGGAACAUGUGGUUUAAUUCGAAGCAACGCGAAGAACCUUACCAAAUCUUGACUUCCUCUGCCCCCUCAAAAAAUAAAUUUUCCCCUUCGGGGGACAAAAGGAAAGGGGGGGCUGGGUUUCCCC
rnacentral:rRNA from 1 species